UACGUAGGGGGCUAGCGUUGUCCGGAAUCAUUGGGCGUAAAGAGCGUGUAGGCGGCCCGGUAAGUCCGCUGUGAAAGUCGGGGGCUCAACCCUCGAAUGCCGGUGGAUACUGUCGGGCUAGAGUGCGGAAGAGGCGAGUGGAAUUCCUGGUGUAGCGGUGAAAUGCGCAGAUAUCAGGAGGAACACCGAUUGCGAAGGCGGCGUCUCUGGG
rnacentral:rRNA from 1 species